ensembl:lncRNA
CUGGGAAUUGAACUCAGGACCUCUGGAAGAGCAGACGGUGCUCUUAACCACUGAGCCAUCUCUCCAGCCCAAUAAUGUAGCUUGUAAUCGCCACAUUCACAUAGAUGUUGGGUGGCAGCAUACGGCUAUAAUUUCCAGAAUUUAGGAGAUGGGGGACAGGAGGAUCAGGAGUUCAAGGUUAGCCUCUUCUAUGUAGCAAGUUCAAGGCCAGCCUGACCUAUGGGUGAGACUGUUUAAAAACAACAAAAACCAAAAACCAAACAGGAGCAUGGUGGUGCAGAUCUUCAAUCCUAGCACUCAGGAGGCAGAGGCAGGUGGGUGUCUGUGAGUUGAAGACCAGGCUGGUCUACGACAGCCUGAGUUCGGCUCCUGGAACCCACAUGGUAGGAGAGAACCAGCUUCUGAAAGUUGUCCUCUGCCCUCCACAGAUGCUCUGUGGUGGUGCGCUUGGCUGGGCGUGAUGGCGCACGCCUUUAAUCUCAGCACUUUUGGCAUUCAGGAGGCAGAGGCAGAGGCAGGCAGAUCUCCGAGCUCAAGGUCAGCCUGGCCUACAGAGCUAGUUGCAGACCAGCCAGAGCUACAUAGUAAGACCUUGCCUUAAAAAAAAAAAAAACAUAAAACUAGUCUGUCAUUCUCACUCUCAGCCCAGCGUGUUGUCUGCUGAAGUCAAAGGAGUCCGGAUGAGACAGAACAAUGCUAAUCCCAAUCUAGAGAUGAUCUGCUAAGUGAGAGCCAUACCUUAAUACACAUGUAACUGCAGUUGGCAGUCGUAUAUAUUAAGCCUCUGCAAGUAAAUUAAGAAAAUAUUAUCUCAUUUUAGAAACAAUGGAAAUAGACCAUUCAUAGAAGGGAUACAAAUAGCUUUAAAAAAAAUCCUAUUCUUGCUUGUUUAUUCCCAACAGGUCAGAAAAGAUCGAAGACAUAUGGGAACGUGCAUGGUCUUGUACGUUGGUGGGGCAUGUCAAUGGCAUUGUGCCCAUUAGCGGGCAGCUUGGGGCAUCGCUCAAGAGUCAGUUUGCAAACGCCCUUUGACUCAGUAAGCCUUGGGCCCAACACAGGAUGGCUGACUCUGGGUCUCGUGCUACGAACCAUGACUCCCCGGUGAGUGAUGGUCAGGCUUGGGCUGGAAAAGGCAGAGUUGGCGGAUUAUCCAAAGGACUGUGGACUUGGCCGUGGGAGGCUUAAGCAGGAUGGAUCGCUGUGGGCGAGUUCUUUGGAGUCUUUAUCUUUCUGUGUGGCUGGCUCAGAUGACAGCAAGGAGCCCGGGAUGAAUCAAUAUGUCCUUGGUCAGCUGCUUUGGUGGCUCCACUGCUGUGCUGGUUCUACAAAUAAUUGGAGUCCAGUCACCAGUGAAUCAGCACGGACAGCCCUUGGCAAGCCGGACCAGGAAGGCUGCUUGGCGUGGCAUGGCUGUAUUGAAGGCGGCUCUGUGCUGGGCAGGGUCAGGUGACAGAAAGCCUGGGCCAGCUGGGUAACUACUCUCACGGGGAUUUGAGCAAGCGACAUUUAUCAUGCCUACCUUAGUUUCUCCUGUGUCUGGUUCUCUCUUUUGAUGAUUCCCUUCCCACUCCAGGCCUCCAUUUAUUUCCUUCAAUAUAGCCAGACGUUAUUCUAACCCUGGGGUGGGGGUUGGGGAGAGUAAACGGGAUCCCCGGCUCUCAUUUUUGGUGCAUGUGGAUGUUUGGUAUCAUGGGGAUACAGUCAGGAGCAAGCGUUGAUUCAGAGGUGAGGAGGAUGAGGUUUGGAGACAGGAGCUAGUUUCAGACACAGAGCGUUAUCAUCAGACGGGCAGUAGGGGUCUGAGGGAGGCGGGCAGAGGGUCGAGGCCUAAAACCAGGCUAAGAACUUGGCUUUUUAUCCGGAGAAAGGCAGAAAUAUGAGGGACUUUUGUUUAUAAUAUUCUUAUAGUUAAUAUUGUUAAAUGGCAUGAACUAAUUCAGGUUUGGGGGUGGAGUGCUUGCUUAGCAUAUGGAGUCAUGAUUUCUACCCGCAGCACCCAAUAAACAGGACCUGGUGGUACAUGGCUAUCAUCCAAGCACUGGGCGGGGGGUGGGUAGAGACAGGAAGAUCAGAAGUUCAAGGCCAUCUUGGCUACAUAGCAAGUUUGAGGGUAGCUCAUGCUGUAGGAGGAUCCUGACUCAAACAACAGCAAAUCUAACUCACUCUAAUAUAAAAAUCAAACGAGGGCCAGGAGGGUUUCUUCUAAUAACUCUGUGUGUGUGUGUGUGUGUGUGUGUGUGUGUGUGUGUGUGUGUGUAUAGAGUAUGUGUGUUGUGUGUGUGGUGUCUGUGUGUCUGUGUCUUUGUGUGUGUGUGUGAGAGUGUGUGUAUGUGUGUGUAGAGUAUGUGUGUUGUGUGUUGUAUGUGUGUGUUGUGUGUGUAUGUGUGUAUAUGUGUGUGUAGAGUAUGUGUGUUGUGUGUGUGGUGUCUGUGUCUUUGUGUGUUUGAGUGUGUGUGUGUAGAGUAUAUGUGUUGUGUGUUGUAUGUGUGUGGUGUGUGUGUAUGUGUGUGAGUGUGUAUGUGUGUGGGUGUGUGUGUAUAGAGUAUGUGUGUUGUGUGUAUGUGUGUGGUGUGUGUAUGUCUGUGUGUGUAGUGUGUGUAUGUGUGUGGGUGUAGAGUAUGUGUGUUGUGUGUGUGUGUGUAUGUGUGUAGUAUGUGUGUUGUGUGUGUGUGUGUGUGUGUGUAGAGUAUGUGUGUUGUGUGUAUGUGUGUGGUGUGUGUGUCUGUGU